GUCAAUGAAGAUACAACCCAAACUGUGGCUGCCACUUAAAGUGCAGGUCAAACCCAUUAGCUGGGUACGAACAUACACAAGUUGUCUUAUGAUGCAUUAUCAGUGCCUGAUAGUGUACCACAAGGGAGAUCACAAAUUUUCAUCCAUGGGGCAAGAAAGAGCCUUCUAGAGAGAAGCACGCACAGUCUGGAAAUGCGCUACAAAAGGGGCUUGAGGGAUUUUCCCAACUGAGCCCACUCAGUAGCCUUUGGUUUUCAAUGUGAAUACGAGAGGAAACAGAGGUCUGCUUCUCACUUUGUGCAAAAGCUGCCUUUAUCCAUUCUUGGACCCACCCGAAUCACAGGAGAGGGGGGCACCCUGCUGCAUGGGGCCUUGUGGUCAUUCACAUGAUUCUCCAUAGAAACCCCAGAUCAUCUCCCCCAAAAGGAACAAUUCCCCAAAGAAUUUAGGAUGCACGAGGAAGACGUUGUCUCCAGGGUCGUUGCUAUGAUGACAGACAUUCCCCUUGAAAGCCCCAAAUGCCCGUAAAUGUCAAAAAUCUGGGUGUUUGGUGCUCUGAGGAUGGAGCCUGCAGAUUCCAUGGCCCCUUUCUGGGCUAAGUUUCUCUCUUCCCGGCCCAGAUUUAUUUUCAAGGGCUUAGCUUCGGGGAACGAUGGGAAUGUUUCAGCUCCCAUCAGGGAAGGAGUGCUCCUGACCACAAGGAGAAAAAGCCCCCAAUACAUUUCACAGACACCAGCGAGGAUUCUGCAAAGUCCAUUCUUUCAAGAACAAAAUUGCAUUUUAUGAAGCCGUCCCUUUUCUGUUUCAUCUGUCAAGAAGGUUUGCUGAGAAUAAUUUAAAUUUCAUGCAGCAGCAACUGCAGGGCAGCGGUGCUUCCUUCCCAUCCCAUAAACAGGCCUGGCUGCCGAGUCUCAUUUCUGCUUCUCAGCAGCACCCUCCCCCUGCAGCCAUGAUUGCCUGGAGCCCAGAGUGCCGGGCUCGGGGGGUGGGGUGGGGGUGGGAGCAUCCAAUGAGCUCCCCUUUAGUCUACUGGCUCCAACCAACAGGUGGACUGGUCUCCCCCAAAUGUAUGGAUAUUUGGUCGGACCCAGUCUCUGAUUUACCGUUUUAAAAUUAACUUUUAUUGAGUGUUUAACAAGUGAGGUACUAUUCUAUGCUUUUCUACACAUAUUAAUUUAACCAAUCCUCACGACAUUUCCAUGAGAAACAUACUAUUAUCAUUCCCAUCUUAUAGACAAAGAAACUGAGGCUUCGAGACUUACUCAGCUCCUACAUGGCAGAGGUAAGAUUCAAACCCAGUUCUGUUUGACUCAAGGGCUUGAAGCUCUCACCAGCUGUGCCAUGUUGAAUCAACAUAAUCUUUGGCCUAAAUUUUUCUGCAUAUAACACAAGAUGUAUCUAUCUAUCUAUCUAUCUAUCUAUCUACCCAUUUUCUUGCCAAAAUUCAGUGUUUGCUGCCAGCUAGGUGGAUGAGAGGAUGGGAAAAGUUACUAUAACAAUGCUGCAGUAUUGGUUACCAUGGUGAAUGCACUGUGCCAGGCAGCCUGGGGUGGGGAAAGGAGCCAGUCCAGGCCGAUUCUCUUUCUCACUCCCUGGGUGACCUCUGCAAGUCUUUCUUUCUCCAGGUCUUACCCUUCUUUUUUUUUUUUUUUUUUUUUUUUUUAAAUUUUUGUGUUCUGGUUUCUUUCUUUUUAAAAAAUAAUUAAUUAAUUAAAUUUAUUUUCGGCUGCGUUGGGUCUUCGUUGCUGCGUAUGGGCUUUCUCUAGUUGCGGUGAGUGGGGUCUAUUCUUCGUUGCGGUGCGUGGGCUUCUCAUUGCGGUGACUUCUCUUGUUGCGGAGCACGGGCUCUAGGUGCAUGGGCUUCAGCAGUUGUGGCUCGCGGGCUCAGUAGUCGUGGCUCGCGGGCUCUAGAGCGCAGGCUCAGUAGUUGUGGCCCAUGGGCUUUGUUGCCCUGCAGCACAUGGGAAUCUUCCAGGACCAGGGCUCGAACCCAUGUCCCCUGCCUUGGCAGGCGGAUUCUUAACCACUGCGCCACCAGGGAGGUCCCAAGUCUCACUCUUCUGAUCUACAGAAUAGAGGGGCUGGGUGGCACGGUUAUUUCUACUCCUCCUGGGUUCUGGGAAUUUGUGGCUUAGAGGAUCAAGAGCUGAUCUAGGCCCCAGGGAAGCAGUUUAUUGGUCUGAGAAAUGACAGAGUGUGUAGUGUGUGUGUGUGUGUGUGUGUGUGUGUGUGUGUGUGUGUGUGUGUGUGUGUGUAUGUGUGGGUGCAUCUGGCCAGGCCCUCCUCAUGCCUCAGUGGCCCAGGAGUCUGUGCUCGUCCAAGUGGCCUUUUGGCCUUUCAUCUAAAUCAUGCAAGAAAUCCUCAGGCCCCGGAAAAAGGAAGAAGCCAAAAAUCAACUCAGGCCUGAAGGCAGCAGUGACAGAAAGACUUGUCAUCACUUGCCUAACUAGCUGCUGGGAGCAUAGCCAGCCCCCCACCCUGGAGAUGCCCGCAGCCCCCAGAGCAUGUGACGCUCAGCCAGCUCCACACCCAGCCCACUGGGGAUGCUAAGGCCUCACAGUGUUGACACUUGUUACCUUGUUGCGGACCUUUCCCUGAGUCCUCAGGGGUGGCUCGGGCUCACAUGGGGCACUAGACUCUUCAAUGAGGAAGCCAGGCCAGUACAUUCAAGCAGCCUUUACUACACGCGGGGCAGCAGGAACACACAAAAGGAAGAGGAACACACAGCCCUGCUCCUGGCUUCCAUGCAGCUCGCUGUCUCCCCCAGUCUUCCACCAGAGUGGGGGGGCCUUGGCACUGUGUAGAUACUGGGCUUUGUUGGAGGAAAGGGCCCAAGGCUGACAAAGGCUUUAACACACCUCCCCUCCGUCAUCUAUCACCAGGUGGUGCUGACUCAGUCUCAGUUUGAGGCCCGCUAGACGCCCCCUUCCCUCCAGCCCAUCUUGCUGCCGUGUCACCUUGGUCAUGUCACAAGGUCAGCUUGAGGCCUAACCACUCACAAACCCAAUUCCUCUCCCCGCCUGCUUGUGGCCUAGCUCCUGUCUCUUAUCUGAAGUCUUACCUUUUCCUCUUGGUGAGGCCAGCAAUGAUCACCUUUCCUUACAGGGUGGCCUUGUCCCAUGGGCCUCCUCUGGGUGACCGUGACAAUGGUGAUGGCGAUAGCACCUCUACAGGACUUACCGUUUGCCGGGCUUGGCUCUGUUCCGAGCACUUUACAUGAGUUUUAACUCACACGGUCCUCACAACAGCUCUGACGGCAGGUACUACCACCUACUCCCGUGUUAUAGAAGUGAGGCCUAGAGAGGUUCGGUAAGUCACCCAGGGUCACUCAGCAAGCACGGGAUAGAAUGGAACUCAAAUCUAGGCGGUCUGGCUCCAAAGUCUGUCUUUAUCCACUCCCUGAAGCUGCCUCUGCCCACAGCCUCAGUGGGAGAGACAUUCUCAAGCCAUUUGCCCAGGUCACAGAUUCAUUAUAUUCUGCCCGUGAGCUCCCUGAGGGCAAGAGCCUGCCCUGGGCUGCUCAAAAGACGCAACUUGUUGACCAGGGAAACCGCAGACACCUCCGUUUGGCCUGCCUGUCGCUUGAUGUGGUCCUCGUGUAGGGUUAGACAAAUAGGCCGGGGACAGGCAUCUGGGGGCUCGGCAGCUAGGCCAGAAGGGCAGAAAGGCACCACGGCCCAACUUCAACCACAGGGCCCUGGAUGGGAGACACUGCUGCCUGCUGUCCUCCCUGCCUCCGCACACCCGGUUCUCCUGAGCACCCCGAAGAAUCCAGGGUGCCAUCAGGCACCUCUGCUUGACGGGACAAGCCCCUGCAGGUGUGACACUGGGCUGGAGGUGGCUGUGGGGGCAGGUGUGCUGAGGAGCUGGCUGUGCUCUCAGGCAUGAACUUUCAGCCCCUGUCCCCCCCAGCCACUCAGCUCAGUCCUCGCCCAGCUGUUGUUUUCUGUCUGACACUGGGUUCCUUUCUUCCCAUGUGCUGUGGUUUGGAGCCCAGCCAGUUAGAGCUGAUGAAUAUUGAGCUGCUUGGGAGCAAAGCAGGAGCUGCGUGGGCAGGGCGGGCCCUCGCCGAGAGGCCUCGCCACUUCCCUCGCUUGGCGGGGCCCAAACCCCUGAGGCACAGCCUGAUGCCGUCCCUAAAAAGGCCUCCACCCUUGAGAGGGCAGAAACCAUCAAGUGGGCUCCCAGGUCCAGCUCCUCUCUCUCCACCUGGAGUCCUCAGCAGUCAGCUCCAGAGGCUGCCAUCCUCCAGAUGGCCAACAGCUGGCCUAGCUGAGCGGCUGCCAGAUGUGGCCGGCGGGGCAGCCGGCUGGGUCCAUCGGGCAGAGGUCAACGCCUUGGAGCAGUGCUGGGGGCUGGCGCCUGGGAAGGAGUGUGUCUGGCUGGUCUGGGGGUAUCAUGCCCAAAUCACCCUCCAUCUCCUCUCCCCCCGUCCAACAUUCCUUCCCUCCCCACCUCAGUGGGGCGGUGUUUUCAUAACAGGAAAAUAAAAUCAAUAAGGCACUGCAGAAGAUGUCAGCGCACUCCGAGCUGGCCUCCAAUAGCUCCAUUGUCUCGGGCCUCUGCCGGCAGCACUCUCAGUUAUUAAUGGGAAGCGGGGCUGAAAGGGAGUUUUGAAAAUCACCGAGACAAAGGCACGGCACACCUGGAGCACGACUUUCCAAUACCACGUCCGCCUCACAACGGCUGGGGCCGGGGCUCCCCAACCUUUAACUUCUCCCACAGCUUUUAUGAAAGCAGAAAAGACAAGACUAGACACACACACAC